rnacentral:misc_RNA from 1 species
AAGUCGUAACAAGGUUUCCGUAGGUGAACCUGCGGAAGGAUCAUUAACACGUAUCCAACGUUAAACCCCCCUGUGAACUUUUAUACUUGCUCUCUUAACUGACGGAAUUGCAAUCCCUGGUAAAUCAUUGUUGAACAGAUUUUGAUUCAGGGACCUCAGUUUGACAGUUAGGAUUGAGCGAUCGUUGCAAGUGGCCUGGUUUCCCCAAGCAGUCAGUGUCUGAAAGUGGCAUUGAUUGUGUAAUCGGCCCCCUAUAUUAACCCCACUACCUGAUUCCGCCUCGUAGGAAACUGCUGGGCAACAAAACGAACAACUGUUAACAAUGGAUAUCUUGGUUCUC